rnacentral:rRNA from 1 species
UACAGAGACUGCAAGCGUUAUUCGGAUUCACUGGGCGUAAAGGGUGCGCAGGCGGCCGUGUGUGUGAGGCGUGAAAGCCUGGAGCUUAACUCCAGAAUUGCACCUCAAACUACAUGGCUAGAGCAUUGGAGAGGGUAGCAGAAUUCACGGUGUAGCAGUGAAAUGCGUAGAUAUCGUGAGGAAUACCAGAGGCGAAGGCGGCUACCUGGACAAUUGCUGACGCUCAGGCACGAAAGCGUGGGAAGCAAAAGGG